GGGAAGAAAUUGAUGCUUUUAGUUAGCCAAAUUCAAGUACCUGUUCUACCAGACUCAGCCAAGAGAGCUACAUCUCUUCUGCUUUUGAGACAGAGUCCUCCUCUAAGAGCAAGACUUAGGACAAUGGGACAAACAGUUUGUUACAAGGAAGAAAGACCACAUCAACACUAACGGAAUUCUAAGUGCCACUCGAUGAGCCAACACCCCCAGUACGCAUCGGUCUCCCCACGAGCUGAUCCUGCCCAGCCUGUGAAGGAGAGGGCAAGACAAGAGGCUGCUUCUUUGGCUAGAGAAGGAGGAAAACGAUGGCAGGUUCCAAGAAGAGCUGGAACUAGAUUUAAGCAGCCGGACAAACUCUACCGAUGACCAAAGUGACAGCUGUGAUGAGAAGUGCAUCAAGACCACCAGCCACCAACAACCCCUUUUCUGAAGGCCCAGCUGGUCAACUCCACCACUGCAGCGGCGCUUCACCAGGGAGACCUUCCACCCAGGCUCUGCUGAGCAAGCACACAUCCUCCACUUGGCAUCUUCUCUUCUCCUUCUUCUUCUUCUUCUCUUCUCUUUCUCUUCUCUGACACCUUGCCCUCCUCUCCCCAAAAGCGUGAUUUCAGUAACAGUGACCCCUCACUGCAAAGAAGCAACCCCAGAAAGUGCUGAGGAGACGAAAAGGGUGAACACCAGCUGACACAUUCUGCCUGCGGUGUCUUCUGGGCACUACUCUGAAGGUACAGGUCAUCCUUGCUUUUCAGAGCCAGCAGACUUCCAAACAAGCAUAAAGACAGGCCUAAAACCCAAGAUGAUUAAGCAGGCCCAGUGCAUUGUUAGGAGGAACACCAAGAAUUGUGUCUUAUUAUUUUAUUAAACCUUCUUCUCCUUCCCUUCCUACAACGAGAAGCAGAUCUAAAAUCCCCUCUAAGGUUUUACAGUAUUGGAAAUCUUCACAUCUUCAUCUGGUUUCAAUAAAGUCUAGUUGUCUGAAAGCUGGUGUUCUUCCCAACCUACUUUAUUUUCAGAACAGAAGAUGGGAUGCAACACCGAGGAGGAAAUCUGCAAAUCGAAGAGGGGUAAGACUUUGAGAGGGUGGCAUUACAGCGUGAAAAUGUAUUUUCCCUUUAUCAAAAGCAAAAGCAAGCCUACA